rnacentral:misc_RNA from 1 species
GCCCAUCAACACUCGGUCAGCCUUGUUAAAGAGGACGGACUCGAUGUGGACAAUGGUCCUCCGAUCCAGUAAUGGAACGGUGGGCUGAAGUUAAUGGUCGUCGGAUGGUGACAUGAUCGGCGAGUGGUGGGCUACUGCGCAUGUCGAUCACAGCUACCAUUUCGAUGUACGGCCAAUUCACCCCAGUCAAAACGAGGGGAUUGUUGAUUCAGCUUCUUGUUGUUUCACAAUUUCGGACC